AAGGGACACAGAUGAAACUGGAAACCAUCAUUCUCAGCAAACUAACACAAGAACAGAAAACUGAACACCGCAUAUUCUCACUCAUAUGUAGUAGUUGAACAAUGAGAACACAUGGACACAGAGAGGGGAAUAUCAUUCACCAGGAUCUGCCAAGGGGUGGGGGGCUAGGGGAGGGAUAGCACUAGGAGAAAUACCUAAUGUAGAUGACAGGCUGAUGAGUACAGCAAACCACCAUGGCACUUGUAUACCUAUAUAACAAACCUGCAUGUUCUGCACAUUUAUCCCAAAACUUAGAGUAUAAUUGAAAAAAAACUCUGCCAACUAAAACAGCCAAAGGACAUGUGGUUUUACUAUGAAUUUUAAGUUUUAAUGAUUAUACAAUUUUAACAACAUUUUAAAUGUCCUAAGUGUUAUAACACAAUAGAUAUCUUGUGAAGUCAUUUUCUGAAGGCAGUGUAAUUUCAAUUAAAAAAACUUACAAAAGUAAAACUAAAAACAAACAAAAAUAAUCUUAGCAAGGAACCUUGAUUAUAAUUUUCUAUGGAAUUAUUUGUCAUAUAAUAUUAACAAAUAUAAUGUAAUGGUAUAUAAAAAUGCUAUGCCUAAAUAUUUAUUCCAGAAACACAAGAAUGAUUGAUUCAAUAUUAAGAAAUCAAGCAGGGUGAGAUGGCUGAUGCCAUUUCCUACAAUGUAAUGUGUUACUUAAUAAGUCCUUGCUCUGAAGA
rnacentral:lncRNA from 1 species